GCAAUCUCGGGCUUGGUUAGUACUUGGAUGGGUGACCGCGUGGGAAUACCAAGUGUGAUAAGCA
rfam:Ciona savignyi cont_37859, whole genome shotgun sequence.